rnacentral:rRNA from 1 species
GACGAACGCUGGCGGCGCGCCUAACACAUGCAAGUCGAACGAGCGAGAGAGAGCUUGCUUUCUCGAGCGAGUGGCGAACGGGUGAGUAACGCGUGAGGAACCUGCCUCAAAGAGGGGGACAACAGUUGGAAACGACUGCUAAUACCGCAUAAGCCCACAGGUCGGCAUCGACCAGAGGGAAAAGGAGCAAUCCGCUUUGAGAUGGCCUCGCGUCCGAUUAGCUAGUUGGCGGGGUAACGGCCCACCAAGGCGACGAUCAGUAGCCGGACUGAGAGGUUGGCCGGCCACAUUGGGACUGAGACACGGCCCAG